AUAGUGUUUCAGAGUUAUCUGUUCUCUUCCAUUGAUCUGUUUGAUCCUUGCAUCAGUACCAUAGUAUUUUAAUUACCAUGGUAAUCGUUUUUAUUUUUCUUCUUCAAAAAAUGGCCUUGUUCAGAAACUGUAGAAAUGGUGGCACUUGUAAUAGUAAACUAUUAUUGAGUGCGAACUACGUGCCAGGCAUGAACUCACUUAAUCCUCAGAACACUAUCACUCUAUUCCUAUUUUACAGAUGAGGAAACUGAGGCAUAGAAUGGAAAGUUACUUGCCCAGGGACACACUGAUUGUGUAAGUGGUAGAGCUGGAGUGAACUAUAGAAUCAAGACUUUACUAUCCAUUUAAAAAAAUGUCUUAUAUGGAGUGAUUGGGACUAUAGUUAUUUUGACAUAAAGGGUGUCUUAAUUUUUCAGAUAAUCUUAAUUCUCCACAGCCCAAAACAUGUUUCUCUUUCUCCAUUUAUUUCUUUAAAAUUUUUAUUGGUGAAGUUAUUCAUAGGGCUCUCCUAUUUUCUGGUGCUACUGGAAUUAGGAUUGUUUUUUCUGUUUUCUAAUGAUCAAGGCUGAUAAGAUAAUGCUGGCCUUUUUCAUAAUGGCCUUUUUGAUAGCUACCCUGAAUGCUUUAUUAAAAUUUGAUGCAAUGUAAGAUGUAACAUUUUAUUGAUUUUCAACAUAUCUCCUACUCACACAAAAUGGAGACAAUAGAUUAUAAUGUUUUAAAGAACAAAGGACAUCUACUCAAAGCCCUGUUUUCCAGGUGAACAGUGUCAUUUUUUACAAAGAUCUGUGAAAGGAAGAGUAAGCUAAAAUCAGAACACCCAGGGAAAACCAACAUAGUUUGAACCUUGUAUUUUCCUGUUUUGAUUAAAGUAAGUCUUUAAAGUAUAUUUGUUUUUGAGAGCAGGAUCUACUUUUGGUUCUGAAAUAGGCUCUGCUUUGGAAAAUCUUAGAAACUUCCUUUGAAGGUGAGAGGACUCCUGUCUAGGGAAAAGUCUUUUGUUUUUGUUUUUUUAGACUCAACCUGGAAGUGUUCCUUAGGUCACUCUCAGGCCACUUGGCUUUAGAAAGAAUGUAGAAAAACCAAGUUCUAGUCAGGAUCCAUUCUUGAAAGAUUGACAAGCUCCUCAGCAUUGCUAGAAUUUCCGUCAUUGCUGUUAGCAAAUGUGGCAUUUGAUUCUUUGUUCUCUCUCAGCUUCUGUUUCUCUACCUCAUGUAUUACAAGUACGUAAUGCAGGAUCAGCCAGGGAAAUUAAAAGCUAUCUGGCGCAAACAGAAAAUCAGUUUUUAAACUGUCAGUAAGGACAUUCCUGCAGUGAAUCAGCAUAAGAAAAUGAGGUGAAAAUUCAGCAUGAGGUUGACUCUGCAGUUCAUUUUGCAAGAUUUGUCAUGGCAAAUCUUCAUAAUUUCUAUUGAGCAGAGACUGAGACUUUAUUAUUUCUGAUUGUUGGUGAGAUUCUGUGGAUUUAGAUGCUAAGCAGGCUUUUGCCCUGGGUUAUGACACCUUCAUGUCUUUCUUCUUGCAGUCCACUCUCAAGAAACACAGAAAAGUUGCAUGCUCCUUAAGUCACAUGUCCCUUAAGCUGGACUGGGGUUGAGUUUGUAUAAACUGUUGCCGUUUUUCUUUUUCCCUCUCACUUUGUCCCAUUUCCAGCAUUUCCUUCUGUCUCGCCUCCCGUGUGUAUCAGUCUAAAACCACACUCCAUUAGGAGGAAGUUCAUACGGGGUGAGUUGGUUGUUUUCUUGAAUCUGGUACUGAGAAAGUACAUACGUGUGUGUUUUCUUUUUUUGACAAUUUUUUUAACUUCAUUUGGAUAAAAUUUUACUCUUAGAGAAAGUUAUAAGCGUAAGAAUAGUGCAAGAACACCUGUAUACUCUCAUUAUCCAGAGUCACCUAUGUUUAUCAUUUGCCUUGUUUGCUUAUUCUCUGUGUGUGUGUGUGUGUGUUUGUGUGUGUGUAUAAAUAUAUAAGCUGGAAGGGGGUGACUAUUUGAGAAUACGUUGCAAUCAUCAAGGUACUUUACUCCUAAAUGUUCAGUAUAUUUUUCCUAAAAAUAAGGAUAUGCUUUUACAUAAUCAAUACAGUUAUCAACCUCUGUAAAUCUUACAUUGAAAAAAUACUUUAAUCUAUCGUUAGUGUUCUAGUUUCAUCAGUUGACAAUAUUCUUUGUAACAUUUCUUUUCCUCCAGAUGUUACACUUAGUUGUCACAUCUCCAUAGCGUCCGUUAAUUUGGAACAUUUCCACAGUCAUUCUUUGUCUUCCAGGACAUUGACAUUUGUAAAGAAUAUAGUUCCAAUUUAAAAGAACAUUCCUCUUUUGGAGUUUUUCUGAUGUUUCCUCAUGACCAAAUUCAGCUGGAAUACUCCAUAAGUCAUAAGUGAUGAUGCAUCCUUCUCGAGUAUCUCUUCUGGAGGUGUGUGAUGUUUAGUGAUAUUAAUUUUGAUUAUCUGAUCAAGGAAUUGUCCUAUUUCUCCACUGUAUAGUUACUAUUUUUUUCUUUGACACUAAUGAGCAGUGAGUGGGGAGAUAGUGUGAGUCCAUGCGCAUCCUCCUCAUCAGAUUUCCCCUAGCCAAUUCUAAUUUUAUCUAAACUUUAUUAGAUCAUCUUAAGAUAAAAAUAAUUUUCUCUUGAGGCCUUAAUUGGCAAGCAGAUUUAACUACUCCCUUUUGAAAUUGUUUCUCUAGCAAGGUGAGCAGUAAUUAACAAACAUAAAAUUACUAUACAUUGAAGCUGAACUAAAAAAAAUGCCAUAAUGGUUAAGCUUUUUUCCACUCUAAGCUGUACUUCUCUCUAUUUGUAUCCGGUUACCUCCCCAUUAGAAAAGCCAUCACCAUUUUAUUAUAGGAAAAACAAUCAGUUCUUUCUCCUCAGGCAGUUUCUAAUGAAAAUGGUGUCAGGUAUCAGAGAUACUAAACAUUUACCAAAAGCUUAAAUAUUGAUGAAAAUUUUUACUAAGCAAGUGAAAUUUUUUUUAAUUUGGUUUUUGUAAACACUGGCAGGAAGGUGGACAUAUCAGGAUACCUGGUCAUAACUCUUCCACCGUCUGCUCGGGGUGUGCUCCUGGUAGAGGAGAGAAGUCCUUUUACUUUAUCAUAUCUGCCUACUGCAGUGGGCCAUUCACUAUCCAUACUUGAUGAAAUGAUUUUGGUGAUAUUAUUCUCAGACCCAAAAUAUGAGUUAUUUUCGAGUAAUUUAGAGCAAUAUGAUUACUCCAAAUAAAUUGAGGUUUUGUGCCUAUGCCUCCGUAGAUCCCUAAACACCAGAGUGCUGUUCGUUCUUAUUGGAGAGGAAAGCAGUUUCUUCAUGGUUAGGUCAGUUUCCUAGAUGCUAUUCUUUAUUUCAGAAUCAAAGUGUGGAGGCGUAUUGCACACAGGGUGUGGAAGAGAGCUUUGAAGUCAGGUGAUCUCUGGUUUGACUCCAGCACUGUCACUGUGCUCUCAGUGAGUUUUGAGUAAAUCCCUUAAUGCCUAAUUUCCUUUCCUCAUCUGUGAAACAGAUGCUGUUACCUGCUAUGUGAAGUUGCUGGGAGGACCGAAUGUAAUGCUUGUAAAGUGCCUUGGCCCCUGGCUCCUAGGAGGUGCUCAGCAGAGCAAUAGCAGUGAUUAUUUUCUUGAGAAGUUAAUUGAGGUGGUGGAUGGCAGUACCUUGAGAGGAGCCUCCCAUCACAAUUUGGUUUGUGUUUGCCAGGGAGCUGGGGUCCGGAGUGGGAUAGUAAUCUGUCAUGGAGUCCCAGGAGCCCAAAUGUGCCGGCCAGUCCCAAGUGCUCAGAGCAUGAGGAGGACAAGGAGUACUGGGCUCUCCGUCUCACUGGACUGACUGUCAGCCAGGAGGUGUUGUUUCAGUCCCAAGAUAGCUUGGAAAACCCCAUGGCUACCAUUCAAGCGCUCUUCAGUCAGGUGACCAUGUGGGUGAGCCCCUGUGAGUCCCGAGAGGCCAUUUAGGACAUCCAGGAAGAGCCUCAGAGCUAGUCUGUCUGUGUGCCGGGGUGAGGAUCUCUGGCAUGUCCGGGGGAGCAGCUUCUGCCCAGAGUAUUCUUGACUGGGGAAGGGCCGGGUUACCAGGCGCCGUCGGGCAGUCUAGACACCUUGUCCUGGCUAUGCCCUGGAGACUCACAGUCCAUAUGCCACCAGACAGCAAAGGGAUUAUGAGACUUGAAGGCUUGGAAUAAACACACAUAAAAUAUGACCGGAGCCCUGCAUUUUUAGCUAAUAACUUCAGUGGGUGAGGAAUUGUGGGCUGGCUCAGAGAUGGCUGCUGUUACCACCAUUUGCCUUUCUGCUUCCCUAGAACUUGCUGUUGUUUGGGGAAGGGCUGCAGUUUUGCUGCCUAACUUCUGAUAGACACUCCUUAUUCACUUUCAUGACUUUCAAUACUUGCUGUCUCAGAUGGGUAAGCUCAGGAGCUAGUCUGUGUGUCUGAUAUUAAAAUAAAACAAUCCAAACAGUCCUCCUAAAAUUAACAUUAAUACCACUAGAAAUAUUUAUUAUGCAAAUAAUUCAGAAGAAGGCAAAGACCACUUGGAUUAGCUUGCUCUCAGUUUGAUAUUUUGGUUAAAUGAAAUUAUUUUAUAUUUAUAUGUUCUUUGUAUUUUUAAAAGUACAUAUAAAAAUAAAGGACCCAAAAAAAUCACACUAUUUUCAGGUCUCUGAUAUAACUGGUACGAAGAUAUUUGUUGUUCUAAUCUUUCUGGAAAGCAAACUAGGUGAGUGUAACCAAAGUUAUAAAAUUAUUCGUAGCUUCUCUUAUCCCUGGCUGGUCAAUUUUAGGACUCUAUCUAAGGAAAUAUCUUCUCUCCCGGAACAGGGAAACUAAAAGUGCGCUUCAUGGCUGAACAUUUAUAAUCAGCUGAAGUGGAAGCCUGUGAGGGGUGUGGCCAGGAAGGCUAGUGUGUUACAUAGGACUGAGGUGGCACUAGGAAGCAAUGCUGCCUGGGUUGUCCUCUGAGGAGAGGCUGUGAGGGGAGGAAAGGGUGCUCCCCAGUUGGUGUGUACACCCCAGAUGGUGUGUACAUCGUGAUUCUGACCACGUGGCUGAGAGCCACCUACAGUUUUUACACACUCCUUACUCCAGCAGCUGUAGGUGGAGUUUCUCUGGGAGCUCAUUAGGACUCUCCCCACACCGGGCGUGGGGGAGGGGUUCCUGACCGUCUUCAAACCUGGGCCCCUAUUGUUCUGUGUCUCUAUCAAUUUAGAGCAGUGUAAAGGGGGUGAAUGUUUGUUUACUUACUUAUUUCUUUGUUUCCCUCUAAAGUUGCUUGAAUUUAUAUAGAAAUAAAACCAUGUUACACGUUAUAGUGGUUCUUUUUUUAAGACCUUGAGUGUAUGAUCUUGUACUAUUUAGAAAAGCAAGCUGAGUGUCUACAUGCUUCAGAGUGGCUCAGCAGCUGACAUCUUUCUCUCAACUGAAUAUGAAUAACUUGCAUUUUUAAUUAAAAAUCACAGAUUUAUUUUUGAGAUUCCUGAAGUUCUUGGAUUAUAAAAUUCCCCAAUUCUGGACAGAUUGAGGAUUUUAUGUAAGCUAAGGUUUUAAAAUGAGGAUUUCCAGUUGGUAGAAAGUAAUGUAUACAUGUGUGUCCAAAUUCUUUUGUGCUGAAACUUAAAUAAAUGUCGAUGAGCUUUCACUGGUGAAUGUUCUAGAGGAUUGCAGGAAGGCUGGUUGUUGAAGAGCCACACACUUUCUACCUGUACAUGUGUAUUUACACAUGGCCACGUGCAUUUUACUACCCUCAUGUAUAUAGUCAAAUAAAUACAUGUGCAUGUGUACACACAUUCUUUCAUACCACUUCUUGUCUGAUUUGGCACCUUCCAAAACUGUCAUUUUGAGGUGCCAGAAUAAGUUUUAUUUUGGCUUUUAGAUGACAGCCUCCAGAGGAAUGGCAUCCACAAUUACUCUUCGUCUCUGGGGGCAGCAAAAUGUCCACAGCACUUGGGAACAGUCGGGUCAGUUGGAGUGGCAUGUCCCCAGGAAGACAGAAACCUUCUUGUACAGUUGUCUGUUUUUAUUAUCAUAGACAGGUGGUUGAUAGCUGUUUUAUUUCUCCCAAAUAUGGCUUUCGUUUUGGAGGAAAAACUUGGAAUAAGUAGUGACUUACUUCAUAGAUGCUCUGCCCUUCUCCCCGACCCCACCAGUGGAGGGUGACAUUGCUCCUUGAGCUCCCCACUUCUCAGCUCUGGGACAUCGGUGAGUUCCCCAGGAAGGAUGCGGAUGAGGACAACCAUGUACCUGCCGUAAGUGGGGAGACCAGGCGUGUGUACAGAUAAACUUAAUAGAGAGGCAAAAAUGAAGCGUGUCAGAAACACGGAAGUGUGGAGAUUGUUCAGACCUCUCUUGGGUGAUUACAGUGGACUCCUUAUUGAUCUUUUAGCUAAUAAAAUGAAUGGAAAAAUAUUUCAUAAGUGUACAAUAUGCAGUAGGAAAAUAGAGUACUGUUUACUUAAAAGUCUGCAAAACACUGCUGUACUGCUUCCGUGCAAUCACAACUGGGGUUUAGACACCCACUAUCUUAUCUUGUCUAUUCCAAAAUCUAACAUUUGUUUCUGACUCCACAGCCAGCAGUCUUUCUAGCACAACUUGUGAUCCUCCCUGGAUUAGACUCUUUCGGCUGUGGGAGAAGAUUCCCACCUCUGUGUGUGCCUUCGAAGGCCUUUAGGAUCUGGGCCCGCAGCCCCGUCUGUCACUGGCUGUCCCUGGUUGCCACUGAUCCCUACCACCAGCCACACUGUACCAUACGCUGCUUUGGCUUUUGGAAUUUGAACAAAAUCUAGCUUAACUCAGACAUGCCCUCUAGGACUAUAUUGCUGUCAUCAUUUAAGGAAUCAGAACUGUAGUGAAGAAUACUUUGUAAAUCAGCUUUACAUACAGUUUUCAAAAUAAUCAUGUAUACAAACAUAUAUAAGGUGUAUUUGUCAUUCAUCAUUCAUUGAAGUGUUUAUUACAUGUUCUGUUGUGUCCCUCCCAGGGAAGAAUCAACCAAAGUCCUGUCAGCCUUCCCCAGGAAGGCUUUCUAUAGAGGACAUGUGUGUUAUAUGUUGCUAUGGAACAAGUUAUCUCAAAAUUUAGCAGCUUAAAACAACAAACACAUUAUUGUACACAGUAUCUGAGGAUCAGGAAUCCAGGUACAGCUUAGCUGGGGUUCUGAGGUUGCAGUCAAGCUGUUGGCUGGGGCUGUGGUCAUCUGAGGCUUGCCUGGGAGGGCCCUGCCUCUAAGCUUGCUCAUGUGGUUGCUGGCAGGUUCAUUUCCUCUUGGCUGUUGGCAUGAGGCCUCAGUGCCUCACCACGUGGACCUCACCGUCAGCUGCCUGAGUAUCCUCACAGCAUAGCACUUCUCUUCCCCCAGAGUGAGUGAUUCGAGAGAGGGGAUCCAAGACAGAGAUCAAGCUUUAUAUUUAUGUACAACCAGAAAAUAAGUGGCACCCAAAUACCUCAGGCUUAAAAAAAGUGAGACAGCAAGCGUGGGAGCCUUUGUUGAUAAUAAUGGCCUCUUUUUUCCAUUUUGAGCCAUAUGAGAUUCCCUACGUGCUGGGGGGGAGAUACCUGCUCUAGGCAGAUGUUUGUGUAUUUCAUGAUCUGGUCCAUAAGCGUUGUUGGAAAAAAGUGAAAAUUAAAAGGAAACAAGUCUUGGCUAAAGGGGGAAAAAAAAGUAAGUACAAUUGCAUCCUUUAGAUCUCAGAUUCUCUUUCUCAUGACUUUAUUCCAAUUUAUGUCCGUUACUUCCUUGAACAUCCCACUGGUGACAGGCAUAGCUGCCAGCUUCCAAGAGUCCUAAUGAUUCCCAGCAUCUGGGACUCACCCUUGUGCAGUCCCCUCCCACACAGUACCAGCGGUGGUCUGUGGGAUGCUGUCACUUUUUGAAAUCCAAUAAAAAGGUUUCUGUCUUUUUUACCUCAUUGGUGAGUGAUUGGGGAGUGGGACCCAUGGGCCCUUUGAUUAAUGUGACUCUGAUGUCCCAGUGAAAGUCUUUGUCAUUCUCAGGCCGACUGCAGCAGUGGCCCAGGGCAAAGAGUGUGCGUCAUCGAUGAGAUUGGGAAGAUGGAGCUCUUCAGUCAGCUUUUCAUUCAAGCUGUUCGUCAGACGCUGUCUACCCCAGGGACUAUAAUCCUUGGCACAAUCCCAGUUCCUAAAGGAAAGCCACUGGCUCUUGUAGAAGAAAUCAGAAACAGAAAGGAUGUGAAGGUGUUUAAUGUCACCAAGGAAAACAGAAACCACCUUCUGCCAGAUAUCGUGACGUGCGUGCAGAGCAGCAGGAAGUGAAGACACAUGCAUUCCGUGAAGGAGUGCCCAGUUCAAGAGGAGCCUGAUGGAGCCCUGCCUGUCGAGGCUGUAUGCCUAUGGGGUUAUGGAACCUUGUGGGCUUUUCUAGAGAAAACUCAACAGCUGUUUCCCAUAAAAUGUUUAAAAGAUCAAAUUAGCCUUAAUGCUGGAUUGUCUGUACAAGAUUAACUAUCCAUUGUGGCUUAUCUAUGCUUAAAGAUUUCUUGUUUAUUUCCUCUUGCAGUCAUGCACAUGAUUUGGGUAAACUGUGAGAUGAGAAAUGGUUUUCAGAGUAUUAGAUGGAAUUCACCCCCGUUGAAGUUUAUAAAUGUGUUCAGGGGAAGGGGGAGGAAAGAGUUCACUGCCUAAUCAGUUUUGCAUGUCAUGAAAAUUAAAUUCCUCUCCAGGUGCA
rnacentral:sRNA from 1 species